AUGCUGAAGGCAGGACUGAUUGUGCCAAGUGUCAGCCCCUUCUCGUCGCCAGUGCUGUUAGUCAAGAAGAAAGAUCAGACUUGGAGGUUCUGCGUGGACUUUCGACACUUGAACACAAUCACCCUCAAGCGUGCCUACCCCCUGCCCAUUAUCGAGGAGCUUCUAGAUGAACUUCCGGCUCGGCUUGGUUCUCCAAAUUGGACCUUCGAGCAGGAUACCACCAGAUCAGGUUGCUGGAGGAAGAUGAGAUGA
rnacentral:rRNA from 1 species